AUGAUCUCUUCGUCUUUAGUGUUGCUUCUGGCAGUGGUAUCCUGUAUUGAUUCAUAUGAAUUCACUCAGCCUGAGUCUCUGACUGUCCGUCCUGAUGCCACUCUGACUAUCAACUGUAAAGUCUCCUAUUCAGUUACAAGCUACGUUACAGCCUGGGUUCGUCAGCCUGCAGGAAAAGCUUUGGAGUGGAUUGGAGUGAUCUGGACUGAUGGAGGCUUAGCCUACAAGGAAUCCCUGAAGAACAAGUUCAGCAUCACCAGAGACACUUCCAGUGACACAGUAACACUGCAAGGAAAGAACAUGCAAGCUGAAGACACAGCUGUGUAUUAUUGUGCCAAACGUGCACAGUUACAGAUGGCAACAGUUUCCCUGUACAAAAACAUCAUCAUAUUAACAUUACAGUAUUUAUCAUGUUUUGUCCUUUUAAGUUUUCACAACUGAUAUUCACUGAUGUUCAUCAUUCACAGCUUAAAUUCAUUUGAUGAUAUUAAUGAGCAAAACCUA